rnacentral:tRNA from 1 species
GCGGGAAUAGCUCAGUUGGUCGAGCACGACCUUGCCAAGGUCGGGGUCGCGAGUUCGAGUCUCGUUUCCCGCUCCA